AGUAUUUAAUUUUCUCUGGAGGAAAUUUUUAUAUAAGAUUAUUAUUGAUUAAACAAAAAACACAUCAUAUUAUUUCUCUCUUCCUCCAUAGCUUUUUGAAACCAUGAAUUACAAAGCAUUCACUUUGAUAUUGUGUGUAUUAAUUUUUUGUCUAUCAUCAACAAUGGCCUCUCGAAGAAUAUUAUCAGGUUUUAUCUCUUUGCUUUUUUGAUUGAUAUAUAAAAUAUGAUUAUUAGAAAAAAAAUAUUUACUAUUUAUAGAAUAAUAAUUCUUGUUUAUUGAUAAAAGCAUAAAGAUCAUUUCUAUUAUAAGGUGGAGAGUUUGAUUUUUCCAAUCAACCUAUUCGCAUAAAUAAAACUCUUUCAAAAAAUUAUAUAUUUAUCCCUUCACUUUAAUGUAUUUUAAUUUUUUCCCCUAAAUUUUCAGUUGAAGGAACUAAACAAAUUCAUUAGUUUAAGAUAUACCAUGUUGAGAAUUCUCAUUAGUACGAUGGCAUUUAAUUUGGACUAAUAAACAGUUUUUUGUUGUAAAAUUAAAGUAAAAUAAGACAAACAAAUAUAGAAGAUGAAAGCAAUAGAAAUAUUGUUAUAUAAGUAAUAUUUUAUAACAAUUUUUUUGUCAAUUUUUUUGCUUUAUUCUUGUUUUCUUGUUCCGUUUAUUGUAAUGGGUUUUACUUUUAAUUUGAGUUAUCGCGUUUCAGUUUUCAAUAUGAAAAAAUGUCUUCAGAAAGCAUAUUUGAAAUUAUAAUCAAGCAUAAACUAUUACCCUAGAUCAACAAGUCUUUUUAAAUUAAUAAGUAUAAUACAAAUUGCUAUCAUAUAUAUAUAUAUAUAUAUANNNNNNNNNNNNNNNNNNNNNNNNNNNNNNNNNNNNNNNNNNNNNNNNNNNNNNNNNNNNNNNNNNNNNNNNNNNNNNNNNNNNNNNNNNNNNNNNNNNNNNNNNNNNNNNNNNNNNNNNNNNNNNNNNNNNNNNNNNNNNNNNNNNNNNNNNNNNNNNNNNNNNNNNNNNNNNNNNNNNNNNNNNNNNNNNNNNNNNNNNNNNNNNNNNNNNNNNNNNNNNNNNNNNNNNNNNNNNNNNNNNNNNNNNNNNNNNNNNNNNNNNNNNNNNNNNNNNNNNNNNNNNNNNNNNNNNNNNNNNNNNNNNNNNNNNNNNNNNNNNNNNNNNNNNNNNNNNNNNNNNNNNNNNNNNNUAUAUAUAUAUAUAUAUAUAUAUAAACUCUAUUUUAAUAACAGGUCCGGGAAAUAGUAAAAUGCCAUCACUACCUCACCGACCUAAACCAGAUGGAUCAGCAACUACCCAACCACCGCCUGGUAAACUUUUGCUUGAACCUUUUUUCAAUUUACGUGUCACAAUUCAAAAUUUGAGAAUCAAAUAUUUUAAUUUUAAUUUUUAAAACUUCGCAUCCCCUAAUGCGAACUACUAUUAAUAUGUGUGGCAAAUUAGUUCAUGCACAUAUGUAGUCUUGUUUUCAUUUAAUUGCAUAAUUUUUCUUUCAAAUGAGUUCAUUUUUAUUUUUUUAUCAUUUAAAUAAGUUGAAUUUUAAUUUUUGCAUUUAUUACAUAAUAAAAGUUAUUAAAGAGCGCGAAAUAUAAUAUAUAAACUAUUAUUAUGUAAAAAUAUAAAUUUAUAUCUUACGAUUCUUUUUUACCUCGUGGGACAAUCAUUAAAGACCGACACAAAAUACAGGGAUCCUUUUUAAUUUGCGUAAAGUUAUUUGAUUAGACACAAUGUUUAAAGAACUUUUUUUUGAUGAUUUCUAAUACUUUGUGGUCGUGAGUACGAAUCAUAUGAUGAGAUAUUUGUGAAUUAUGAUUAUAAAACUUGUCAUAAAAUGUCUAAAGAGAAACUUAUAAUUUAUUUUUAGAAAUAGAAAAGUGUUAUUCUAUUUGAUUUCGAAAAAUAAUAAUCGUUUUUUUAAAGUUAAAAUUGCAGCAAAACCACGUAUAAAUAGUGCAUUAAAAAGAAAUUCGGUAUGCAACGAGGAAGUGUAUGGCAAUUGUAUAAACUCUACUCCAACAGUCCCACGCUGCAAUUUAGGUGAAAGAUGUAAACGCACCAUAGUACCCUAACUUGAAGUUAUAACAAUAGAGCAAGUCGCAGUUAGAAUUUGAAAUUUAUGAAUUUUGAAUGUAUUAUUAAAUUUUAUAACUCAUUUAAUUAGUUAUUAGAUUGACGCUAAAUUGUUAACAAUAAACUUCUUUAUUCAGUGAAAGUUCAUGUAAUAAUAUUGAAUGGUAUAUAUUUAUAUCAAGGCCAUUUAAAAUCUUCUUCCUCUAUCCCCUUUUUGGUAUCCCUUUUUUUUUCCCACUACUUAAAGUUCCCAAAUUAUGAGGAAUAAAGAAUGUAGAUUUCCUAAACGGUUAACUACAUUCAUCGAUUGUUUCUUAAAUUUGUUAGUAAAUUUUAUUUAGACGAAUUUUGAUUGAGUCAAUAGAUUUUAAAGGGCAAGAAAAUACUUGACAAAUAUCGUGCUCAUGAGGGCAUGCACACAUGCCAUCGAACAUGUUUUUCUUUAUUUUUGUUGCAUCCAUUUGAACUUGUGACGAUCCGUUAAGACUCGUAAGAUGAUCCAAAAGUUUCUUUUUAGGAAAUUUUACACAAAUCUUAUAGUGUUAAGAGCUAAUUAUAUCAUAUUUAUACUCUUUUCUAAAUUACAAAAAUCCCUUAAAUUUGGUGGAAUCCGAAUACAUUCCAAAAUAUCUCGAUACAUCGCAUCCCAAUUUCGAAUACAUCGCUCAACCUCCUGAUACAUUGCGUCUCAGUUUCGUAUACAUCACAAUACAUCGCGUAAAGUGAUAUAUCCGAUAAUAGGAGAGAGUAGGAAUUUUUGUGAUUUUUUCAAAUGGUAGAAAAUUUUAAAGAAUAUGAUAAAAUAAAUUGUGUAUUGAAGUAAUUUUCCCUAUAUACGAAUUAUUAAAAUGAGGUUAAGAUUUAAAUAAUGACACCAAAAUAGUCUAUUUGUGCAAACCUCCCAUCCACACAAGUUUGAAUGGGCUGGUCUGUCUAAAAAAGCCCAAGAGCUUCUUACUAUUGGGCCUACUUUACUAGUGGCGGGACCCAAUUACAAAAUUUUCAAAUAAAUAAAAUACUCCACACGCAAUCUCCGCCUUCCCGUUGAAUUUAUCCCGGUGCCGGAGAAAUGGAAAACGGCGCUCAGCAAACACCGGCCACCACUACGCCACCAUCACCUCCGAUGCCAAAAGUCGGCGUAGCGGUGUUUCUUUUAAAAGGAAGUAAAGUUCUGUUGGGGAAACGCCUCUCCGCCGUCGGCCAUAGCACCUUUGCACUUCCCGGCGGCCACCUGGAGUUCGGUGAGUACCUAAAAAUAUCUUCCCGUUGUCUAUCGAAGCUUAAAUUCAUAUAUUAGUUAUGAUUUAUGAUAUGAUUUAUUUGAUAGAUGAUCUAAAUUUUAUAGUGAUUUUUUGUGAAAAGUUACUCCCUUCGUCCCAUUUUAUGUAAUAACAUUUGAUUGGACACAGAAUUUAAGAAAUAAAUGAAGACUUUGAAAUGUUUAUCAAAUUUUUCUUUAAAAAGUAGACUGACUUUUCUUUCUCUUCAUAAAUGUAUUGAAGUAUUAUUUUAUGAUUAAAUGAAACCAACAAGGAUAAAAAAGAAAUUGUACCUUUAAAUACUUAUCAUAUUAGGAAAUGCGACAUUCUUUUUGGACUGACUAAAAAGAAAAUGGUGCCACAUAAAAUGUGACGGAGGGAGUAUUUUUUUGGAGUAUGAAAAACUAUUUUUUUUGCAAAAAGUUAAACAAUCACCUUUAUUUGGAAAAAUAUCUUGUAAGAUUGCCAUAUAACUUUCGUGGUUAAUUAGUGUGAUUUAGAGUACAUUGUUUCCAAAUAUAUACUUGAUUUUAUUUCAAAAAAUUUAAAACUUCUAUGUUUGAAUUCACAAUACCUUAACAACCAAUCUAGCUUUGUACCUUGGCUUCAAGUUGUGUUCUUCAACUUUAACUUUGAACACCACUUGUUCUUCAAAGCUCUCAUGCCCUUGGGCAAUUUUACCAAUUCGCAAGUGUGGUUCUCAUGCAGAGACAUCAUUUCAUCUUGCAUGACUUCAAUCCAUUGAUCCUUGUGCUCAUCUUCCAUGGCCUCCUUAUAACAUUCAGGUUCGCCCCCGUCAGUGAGUAACACAUACUCAUUGGGUGAAUAACGAGAUGAAGGAACCCGCUGUCUUGUGGACCUCCUAAGCAAAUUAUUUAAUUCGUCCACAACUUCAUGAGCAUAAGGAUUAUUAAUAACAAUAUCAUUGUUAUUAACAACAUCAACAUGUUGAUUCGAUACAUGAUUAUGGGCGUCACCGUGAUCAUCAAGCCCAACAACAUCAUGCAUACUUGCGUAAGGAACUUCAUCUAGAUGAAUUAUGCCAUAAAAACUUGAAGAUUCUAGCUUCUCUGCUUUGUCAAUAUCUUAAAUUGUUUGAUUCUCCAUGAAAAUAAUAUCACAGCUUCUCACAAGUUUCUUCUCAAUUGGAUCAUAUAGCUUGUAACCAAAUUCAUCAAGGCCAUAUCCAAUGAAGAUGCACUGCCUUGUCUUGGCAUCCAACUUUGACCUCUCAUCUUUCAGCACAUGUACAAAAGCUUUGCAACCAAAUACUCUCAAAUGAUCAUAGAAAACAUCCUUUCCAUACCAAAUUCUAUAUGGAACAUCACUUUGCAAAGCAACAGCAGGAGAUAGAUUAAUAACAUGUGCAGCGGUCAAUAACGCCUCACCCCAAAAUAAGUUCGACAACUUUGCUUCAGAAAGCAAACAUCUAACUCUUUCCAUCAAGGUCCUGUUCAUCCUAUCAGCCAAACCAUUAAGCUGAGGAGUCUUAGGAAGAGUCUUUUGGUGUCUAAUACCUUGAUGCUUGCAGUAUUCGUCAAAUGGUCCACAAUAUUCACCACCAUUAUCAAUACGUAUACAUUUCAGUUUCUUUCCAGUUUCUCUUUCAACUGAGGCCUGAAACUGCUUGAAGACACCUAAGAUUUGGUCUUUAGUCUUCAAGACAUAAACCCAAAGUUUUCUCAAGCAGUCGUCAAUAAAAGUGACAAAGUAGAGUGCACCACCCAAUGUCUUUGACUUCAUUGGACCGUAUAAAUCAGAGUGCAUCAAGUCAAGCAACUCUGUCUUUCUUGAAAGUGGGUAAGACUUAAAUGAAACUCUAUUUUGUUUAUCAGCCAAGUAGUGCUCACACUUUGCUAAUUUAGAACUUUUAAAAUUUGACAAUAAUUUCUUCUUGGUUAGAACAUUAAGUCAUUUUUGGUUGAUAUGGCUAAGCCUCUUGUGCCAUAAUGUUGAAGAGUCAUUGCUCUCAAUCGCAUUUACCAUAUCGACACAAGCAGAAGUCGUAGUCCAGUAUAGACCAUGACGUUUGUUACCACGAGCCACAACCAAGGAACACUUAAUGAGUUUUUAUUUUUCAUCACCGUUGGUACUAACAUAUCCUUCAUCAUCCAAAACACAACAUAAAUUAGGUGCAGACGAACAUCAUGAGCAUGUUUUACAUUGUUCAAAACUAGUUUAGCUCCAACACUAGUUUCCAAACAAAUUGUAGCAAUACCAACCACCCUAGAAACAAUCUCAUUACCCAUACUCAAAGUUCCAAAAUCACCACGAGUAUAGGAAGAGAAAAAAUUCUUCAUUGAUGUCACGUGAGAUGCGGCACCAAUGUCCACAACCCAACUUGACUCAUCACAAGCAAUAUUUAUCAUAUCUGCAUCAAGGACGGUAAUAAGAUCUUCGAUAGUGACGGUGGCUAGGCAAUUUUCAUUGCCAUCUUCUUUAGUUUCCUCUUUGUUUUUGUUCUCCCUCUUCAACUUUCUGCAAAACUUCUUUGCGUGCCUUUUCAUGCCACAAUGAUAGCACUCAAUAUCCUUAAGCCUGCCUCUAGAUUUGCUCCUAUUUUGUUCUCUAUUCUGAGAACCACGAGUUUUGUUUCUCCCCCUGGAGCCAGUUAUCAGGACAUCCGACAAAGAAGAACUUUGGGAUUUUCUUCUUAUCUCUUCGUUCAAGACACUACUCUUGGCAGAAUCCAUUGAGAUUACACCAUCCGGAGUAGAAUUUAACAAUAAAGUUCUAAAUGGUUCUCAAAAGUCUGGUAGGGAACCAAGUAGAAGCAAGCCUUGAAUUUCUUCAUCAAAUUUAAUGUCCAUAGCAAAUAACUGGUUCAUGAUCCCCUGAAAAUUAUUCAGAUGGUCUAUCAUCGGAGAACCAUCAUGAUACUUUAAACUCAACAUCUACUUUAUUAAGAACAUUUUAUUGUUGCCAGUUUUCCGAGCAUACAAACUUUCAAGAUGCUCCCAUAGGGUUCGAGCAUGUGUCUCCCUAGAAAUAUGGUUCAACACAUUAUCGUCAACCUAUUGCCUAAUGAAUCCACAAAUCUGUCUAUGCAACAGAUUCCACUCUUCAUCUGUUUUAUUAUUAGGCUUUACAGUGGUAAAGAUUGGUUGAUAAAAAUUCUUGACAUAAAGCAGAUCUUCCAUUUUCCCCUUCCAAAUGGCAUAAUUAACACCAUUCAAAGUAACAAUUCUACUUGUGUUGGCUUCCAUCAUUUUCCCCCCAAAAAAAUAGUUAUUGCAAACCAAAGUAAAUCUUUUCUGAUGUGGAAGUUCAGACUGUACUGCAACCACAGAGCAUACUCAGAUACAACCUUGGCUCUGAUAUCAGUUUGUUGGGAAAACGCGGACUAACACAAAAACAUAUAUGGUCAAAUGAUAAAAAUAAAGUGGGAAAAUAAUGACACCAAGAAUUUUACGUGGAAACCCUUCUAAACAAGGGAAAAACCACGGGCCAAGAGAAGCAACUGAUAUCACUAUAGUAAGAAAUUUUACACUAUGUAGUCACGAAUACAAUACUCAAAGUGACUACUACACAUUCAAAAUGAAUAACACUCUUUUGAUUUUCACCUUACUAAAAUAUCGCUCACACUCUAUUUUUCUUCACAGACUAUUUUUCUUGUAUAGUCUAUGGAAUACCUCACUUUGCUCUCAAAAUAAUUUUUUCUCUCUAAAUUAGUGUGUUCUACAAAUGAGCAAGAAUGCUCUAUUUAUAGAAGGAGAAAACCAUGCCUAUGGCACUAAUGACAUAUACAAAUGUAACAAAUUUCAAAAGUAAGUUGCAAAUCUUACCAAUUUGCCAACCACCAAAUCUUUUAUUUUCAACUCACAUUUGUUGUCACUAUUCCUUUUUAACAAUUGUUUGUUGCAAUUGAGUAGCAAAAAUUGAUACCAAAAAUUUAGGAAGCUAUUCAAUAUUUGAGAAUCUAUAUAAUAAAAUCAAGUUAGAUAAAUUAAUUUUAUAUGAUUGAAUUUAAUUUAAUUUUCUUUAUAACAGAGCAUGUUGGAAUUCCAAUGCGACCUCACUCCUCUAAACCAGCUCAUUCAGCAACUGAUCAACACCCAUCACCUGCUGUUAUACACCCAACCCCCGGUAAAAUUCUCUCCAAUAUCUUUUUAAUUUUUUUUUAUUUUUCACUCAAUAUCUUGUGUUUAUAUUUAAAUUCGACUAAAUAUGAAUUCACACAUUUAUAGUCUCAUUCUUUUCGUAUGGCUCUCCAAUAACUAAAAGGAUCGGACAUACGGGACGGGAUCUGAUACCGGAAAUUUAGGAAGCUAUUCAAUAUUCGAGAAUCUAUAUAAUAAAUUUAAAUUACUUAUCAAGUUAGAUAAAUUAAAUUUAUAUGAUUGAAUUUAAUUUAAUUUUCUUUUAUAACAGAGCAUGUUGGAAUUCCAAUGCGACCUCACUCCUCCAGACCAGAUCAUUCAGCAACUGAUCCACACCCAUAACAUGUUGUUAUACACCCACCCCCUGGUAAAAUUCUCUCCAAUAUCUUUUUAAAUUUUUUUCGAUUUUUCACUCGAUAUCUUGUGUUUAUAUUUAAAUUCGACUAAAUAUGAAUUCACGCAUUUAUAGUCUCAUUCUUUUUGUAUGGCUCUCCAAUAACUAAAAGGACCGGACAAACGGGACGAGAUCUUAGUGGAAUAUUCUUUAAAAAAAAUAAAAAUAUAUAUAUAUUAAUUUAAAUAUAAAACUACUAACUAAAAAAUCACAAGAUUUUAUAAGUAAUUUUUUUGUGAGAAGAUAUAUCAUAUAUGAGCAGGGGCGGAAUUAAGUGGGGGUUUGUUGACCCUCUAUUUGUAUUAGAAAAUUAAAUAAAAUAUACAUCUAUUGACUAUAUUAUCUUGUGAACCCCUUAACAAAACUGAUUGACAGUUCGAUAGCAAAAAAGGAUCGUGAAAAUUUUCAGGCUUAAGUUAUGGGUUUGAAUCCUACCAUCAACAAAAAUUAUAUUAUUAUUAUUAUUAUUAUUAUUAUUUUGCAGCAACCCCAACGGCAUGCAGUGGAAUGGAUCGACAAGAAUUAGAAAAUUGUAUACGUCGUCAAGUAAACAGGGAUCUCUGCAAGAAUUAUAAGAUAUGUUAAAAUGAUCAAUAAAUUAUGUAGUAUUAUUAUUACCAAUGCUUUAGAUAAUUAAUUAAAUAAAUAAAUAGAUGGUUUAUAAACUUUAGAACUCCACUUUGUACUAGAUGGGUACAUUUUAUUUCAUUAAAUUAUCUCCCAAAAGAGGAUACCAUACAAAAUAUUUCAAUUUUUUCUAUUGUGAAUGGUCCUUUUUAUACUGUUUACGCUCAAAAUACUACUUGUACUUAUUUAAAAUAUUGAUAUUUUAGAAGUUUAAAAUAAAAUUAAGACUUUUUUCUCAGGUUGAUUGUCUUUAAUUGUAAUUAUUCUUAAAAACUAUAAACACAUAAAUUAUGACAUAUAAAUAAAUUAAAUAUAUUCAAUGAAGAAAGACUAUAUUUUAGAAUAUAAAUAAGAAUAAAAUACUUAAACGUUCUCCUAAUUGAUGUUUUACUUUAUGAGGUGUGUAAAUAAAAAAAAAUGAUAAUUUUUUUUUAUGACAGAGCGACUAUUUCAAAAUGUUACAUAAAUAUCAAAAUUUUAUGAGACUCUAGAGACGUAUUCAAUUCAAGACAAACAUCCCUUUACCUUUGGAGAAUGUAUUUUGACGGUGAAGUUGAGUUAAAAAAAAAAACUUCGACGAAUUCAAUUUUUAGGUUCUUUUUAUUCUUUUCGUUCAACAUGUUGUACUUUUGAAUCAAUUCAAUAUAUUAAUAAUAUCGUACCUCAUCUACUUUAUUAUUAGUUUUAAUAUACAUAUUUAAUUUAGCUAUAUAAAUACAAUAACAAAAGAGGGUAGGAAAUCAAAUAUGAACAAAAAAAAAGAAUUAAAAUGCAAAAAUUAGUACCCCCUUUGUUCCAAAUUACGUGAAUUUGACUAUGAAAAAAAUAAAUUAUUUAAAAUAAAUUUAUAUUUUUGAAUUAUAUAAAAUAUAUUAUAAAUUAAAUAACUGAUAAUUUCAAAUAUUUUUAAAAAUAUAUAAAAAAAUUACCAAAAAAAAAAACAAACAAACUUAUUUGCAUUUUGAAAUAUUUAAAUGUUACAUAUACGAACAAGUACAAGACAUGCCGAUGCAAGCCAUUACUCUACAGAAUUAGUAUAGUUCGCAGACGAGCACAUUAAUAAAAACUUGAACUAAAUAGACAAAGAUGGAAAGAUUAAAGUUUUGUUAUUAGAAAGUCUCCGAUAAAAAGAAUGAUCGUUAAACAAUGGUAUCUUUGUGGCCCAAUUGUAAUAUAAUUGGAGCUAAACUACACAACUUGAGAAGACCGCUAUAAGUUGACCAAAUCAACUGUCAUGAAGACUCCAUAGGACUUGGGAGUACUUUUUUUUAUUUGUCAAUAAAAUAAUAAUUUUUGUUAUAUUAUGUUUUAUAAAGAUGAUAUAUUUUAUACAUUUUUAAUUUAAGAUCACAAAAAAUUUUAAAAAUAAUUUACUCUGCUUAGGGGUGUUCAUGGUUUGGAUAAAAACUGAUCCAAACCGAAAAAUCGAACCAAAUCAAUAAAAUAAAACCAAUUUUAUUUGGGUUUGGUUUGGCAUUAGAUUUUUCGAAAACUGAUAGUAUUUGGUUUGGUUAUGAUUUUAUUCGAAAAAAUCGAAGAAAUAACCGAAUCAAUGAAUUAUAUACAUAUAUUUUAUUAAUAUACAUACUUAAUAUAUUAUUUUUAUGAACAACUUUAAAGAUCUUAUAUAUAUUUUCAUUAAAAUUUCUUUAUAAUAUACUUAUUGAAAGCAAAAAUGUCCAAUAUGAAAAUAUUUAUCUUAUUGAUUUCAUAUAUAUGAGUGCUUAUGACAAUUCUUUGUGGAACUGAAAAUGUUAUUGUCUCUUCCUUCUAGGCCAAUUUAGUGAAUUUUAAAGCUUUAUUGAUAGUAAAUUUAGUGAUCGAAAGAUCAGUAAUUUAAGUCAUUCUAACUAUUUUUCGUUUUGAAUGGAUUGUUGUCACUUUUUUCACAUUUUGAAUGAAUUGUUUCUUUUAUCUUUGUGUAUGAUUAAUUACCAAACCAAACCAAACCGAAACUGAUAACCACCAAACCGAUAAAUGUAUAUUAUAUUUGAUUUUGAUAAUUUUAAAACCGAUUAAGUUGGUUUGAUUUUGGUUUUGACCAAUAACCGAUCCAAAUCGAUCCAUGAACACCCCUAACUCUGCUUAUGAAAAAUAAUUUCUGCUGUUGUGUAGAAAUUAUUUUUUAAAAAAAAUUUCAACUCUCUAAACUAAGUAAAAAAAAAAUGAAAGAAAAAAAACAUUAUUAAUUUCUAAAAAAUUGGCCAAACAAAUUAUAAAAUCACUUUAUAUAUUGUACAUGUUCUUGCAAAAAAAAAAGUCUAAUUGAGUAUUGACUUGUUCAAUAUAUUAGCAUGAGAGGACUUAAGAGUAGACCAAAGUGUCAUGAAUCACAAAGGUUGUGGUGUAAUAAAUGAGAUUGUCUCGAGGUUUUGAUUUAAAAAUUUAAAUAUAGAAAAAAAUUUGAUAAAAAAUAUUUUUUCUCGAAUGAGUAUGCCUAUACAAUACGAACUUAAAAUCAAUCGAACUUUAAUAUAGAUACUGAAUCGUGAAUGAAAAAACAAAAACUAAAGUGUCAUAAAUGUUUAGUCCAAGGAAGACUUCAAAAGUCAAGAACCAUAAAAUGGGUUAUAAACGAAGUGAGAAUUUUCUAAAGGAUUUAGUCUACACGUUUGAAGUAUUUAUUUUUCUCUUGAGGAAAUUUUUAUAUAAGAUUAUUAUUGAUUUAAACAAAAAACACAUCAUAUAUUUCCCUCUCCUCCAUAGCUUUUUGAAACCAUGAAUUACAAAGCAUUCACUUUUGAUAUUGUUUGUAUUAAUUUUUUUGUCUAUCGUCAACAAUGGCCUCUCGAAGAAUAUUAUCAGGUUUUAUCUCUUUGCUAUAUUAAAUAUGAUAAUUAGAAAAAAAAUAUUUAUUGUUUAUAGAAUAAUAAUUCUUGUUUAUUGAUAAAAGCAUAAAGAUCAUUUCUAUUAUAAGGUGGAGAGUUUGAUUUUUCCAAUCAACCUAAUCGCAUAAAUAAAACUCUUUUAAAAAAGGGAAAAUUGUAUAUAAUAGCAAACUAUUAAUUCAAAUUAAAUGCUAUAAAUAUAGUUUGAUUUAAUUGUACCUCAUAGCAAACUAUUGUUAUUUCACCUCUCUCCUGGUGAAUCUCGCUCGCCACUCUCAUUCUCUCCCUCGCCUCUCUCGUUUUUUAUACAAACGCAAGUGUAUAAAGUGCAUUUGUGUUUGUAUAAAGCGAGAGAAAAUUGUAUAUACACAUGCAAAUACAUAUAUCUUCGUCCUAUACACUAAUAAUUAUACAAUACAAAUAUUCCCUUACCCAAUUCUCUUUUUCCUUUCUCUCUUUCUUGCUUUAUACAAACACAUAUUAUACAAUAUAAUGUAAAAUUUAUGUUUGUAUAAUGUAUAAUUUAUGUUUGUAUAAAGCGAAAUAAAAUUGUAUAUACACAUGCAAAUACAUAUAUNNNNNNNNNNNNNNNNNNNNNNNNNNNNNNNNNNNNAGAAAAUUGUAUAUAUACAUAUAUUUCGUUCCCCUCUCUCCCCUCUCCCAGAUCUCGCUCACUCACUCGCCUCUCUCACUUUAUACAAUUGAUCUUUUUGUAUAUGUAUACCAAAGCAAAUUAUACAACUGUUUUUUUUUUGUAUAUGUAUAGCGAAUUAUACAUAUAUAUGUUUGCUAUGGAGCGCAAUUAUGCAAACUUUGCUGUAGCAUACAAAUAUGAAUUUUGUGUUUGCUAUAUUUGAAAGUUGCUCUUUAAAAAAUUAUAUAUUUAUCCCUUCUCUUUAAUGUAUUUUAAUUUUUUUUUCCCCUAAAUUUUCAGUUGAAGGAAGUAAACAAAUUCAUUAGUUUAAGAUAUACCAUGUUGAGAAUUCUAAUUAGUACGAUGGCAUUUAAUUUGGACUAAUAAGUAGUUUUUGUUGUAAAACUAAAGCAAAAUAAGACAAAAAAUAUAGAAGAUGAAAGCAAUAAAAAUAUUGUUAUAUAAUAUUUUAUAACAAUUUUUUUGUCAAUUUCUUUUUUUGCUUUAUUCUUGUUUUCUUGUUCCGUUUAUUGUAAUGGGUUUUACUUUAAUUUGAGGUAUCACGCUUCAGUUUUCAAUAUAAAAAAAUGUCUUCAGAAAGCAUUUUUUUCAAUAAUUCAAGUUUUUCCAAAAACACUUUUGAAAUUAUAAUCAAGCAUAAACUAUUACCCUAGAUCAACAAGUCUUUUUAAAUUAAUUAGUCUAAUACAAAUUACUAUCAUAUAUAUGUAUAAAAAAAACUUUAACAAACACUUUCAACAAAAAUACUUUUUAAAAUAAAUAAUUUUUCAAACUUAAUCAAAUAGACUAUAAAUAAUUAGGCUAUUGAAAAUAAAGUAGAUACCAAAUUUGGACAUAUUAAAAAAUUAAUUUAACAAAAAAAAAAAAAAUUGUACCCAAAAGUGCUUGUUCUUUGUUUGAAUUGAAUUUAAAUUCUAUGUAUUUAUAGGAUCAAAUUAUUUAUAUUCGAGAUAAAUUGAUUAUUAUGAUAGCAUAAUAUAUAUAUAAACUCUAUUUUAAUAACAGGUCCGGGAAAUAGUAAAAUGCCAUCACUACCUCACCGACCUAAACCAGAUGGAUCAGCAACUACCCAACCACCGCCUGGUAAACUUUUGCUUGAACCUUUUUUCAAUUUACGUGUCACAAUUCAAAAUUUGAGAAUCAAAUAUUUUAAUUUUCAUUUUUAAAACUUCGCAUCCCCUAAUGUGAACUACUAUUAAUAUGCGCGGCAAAUUAGUUCAUGCAUAUGUAGUAGUCUGAGUCGAUUUUAAUUUUUUAUCAUUUUAAUAAGUUGAAUUUUAAUUUUUGCAUUUAUAACAUAAUAAAAGUUAUUUAAGAGCGCAAAACAUAACUUAUAAACUAUUACUAUGUAAAAAUAUAAAUUUAUAUCUUACGAUUUUUUUUUUACCUCGAGGGACAAUCGAUAAAGAUCGGCACAAAAUACAGGGACCCUUUUUAAUUUGCGUAAAGAUAUUGAUUAGACACAAUGUUUAAAGAACUUUUUUUUUGAUGAUUUCUAAUACUUUGUGGUCGUGAGUACGAAUUAUAUGAUGAGAUAUUUGUGAAUUAUGAUUAUAAAACUUGUUAUAAAAUGUCUAAUGAGAAACUUAUAAUUCAUUUUUAGAAUAGAAAAGUGUUAUUCUGUUUGAUUUCAAAAAAUAAUAAUCAAUGUUUUUUUUUUUUUAAUCAAAAUAGCAGCACCACAACAUUUAACCUAUCGUGCAAUACAAAAAACAGUGACUGUAUGCAACGAGAAGGUGUAUGGCAAUUGUAUAAGAGCUCCUCCAACAGUCACACGCUGCAAUUAUUAUGGAAGAUGUAAACGCACCGUAGUACCCUAACUUGAAGUUAUAACAGCAAAGCAAGUCGCAGUUAGAAUUUGAAAUUUAUGAAUUCUGAAUGUAUUACUGAAUUUUAUAACACAUUUAAUUAGUUACUGGAUUGACGGUUAAUUGUAAACAAUAAACUUCAUUUUUCAGUGAAAGUUCAUGUAAUAAUAUUGAAUGGUGUAUAUUUAUAUCAAAGCCAUUUAAAAUCUUCUUCUUCCAUCCCCUUUUUGCUAUCCCUUUUUUUUUUUCAGUACUUAAAGUUACCAAAUUAUGAGGAAUAAAGAAUGUAAAUUUCCUAAAUGGUUAAAUACAUGCAAUAAUUGUAUCUUAAAUUUGUUAGUAAAUUUUAUUUAGACGAUAUCCUAACUACGAUUUAUUCUGAUUGAGUCAAUAGAUUUUGAAGAGGCAAGAAAAUACUUUGAUAAAUAUCGUGCUCAAGGCAUGCACACAUGGCAUCGAACAUCUUUUUCUUUAUUUUUGUUGUAUCUAUUCGAACUUGUGAUGCUCCGUUAAUUAAGACUCGUAAGAUGAUCCAAAAGUUUCUUUUUUAAGGGAAUUUUACACAAAUCCCGUAGUGUUAACAACUAAUUAUAUCAUAUCUCUACUCUUUUCCAAAUUACAAAAAUCCCUUAAAUUUGCUGGAAUUCGAAUACAUUCCAAAAUGUCCCGAUACAUCACGUCCCAAUUUUGGAUACCUCGCUCAACCUCCCGAUAUAUCACGUCUCAGUUUCGUGUACAUCAUUCAACAACCCAAUACAUCGCGUAAAGUGAUGUAUCCAAAAAUAGGAGAGAAUAGGAAUUUUUGUGAUUUUUUAAAUGGUAGGAAAUUUUAAAGAAUAUGGUAAAAUAAGUUGUGUAUUGAGGUAAUUUGUACUUUCUUGUAUACGAAUUAUGUAGAGGUUAAAAUUUAAAUAAUGACACCAAAAUAGUCUAUUUGUGCAAACUCCCAUCCACACAAGUUUGAAUUGGCUGGUCUGUCUAAAAAAGCCCAAGAGCUUCUUACUAUUGGGCCUACUUUACUAGUAGCGGGACCCAAUUACAAAAUUUUCAAAUAUAACUCCACACGCAAUCUCCGCCUUCCCGUUGAAUUUAUUCCGGUGCCGGAGAAAUGGAAAACGGCGCUCAGCAAACACCGUCCACCACUAUGCCACCAUCACCUCCGAUGCCAAAAGUCGGCGUAGCGGUGUUUCUUUUAAAAGGAAGUAAAGUUCUGUUGGGGAAACGCCUCUCCGCCGUCGGCCAUAGCACCUUUGCACUUCCCGGCGGCCACCUGGAGUUCGGUGAGUACCUUAAAAUAUAUUCCCGUUGUUUAUCGAAGCUUAAAUUCAUAUAUUAGUUAUGAUUUCUUUGCUAGAUGAUCUAAAAUUUAUAGUGAUUUUUUGCUAGAUUAUUAAACUGAAAAGAAGAAAAAUUGGAGUAUGAAAAAACUUAUUUUUUUGCAAAAACUUAAACAAUCACCUUUAUUUGGAAAAAUAUCUUGCAAGAUUGCAAUAUAACUUUCGUGGUUAAUUAGUAUGAUUUAUAGUACUUUUGACGUUGUUUCCAAAUAUAUACUUGAUUUUAUUUCAAAAAACUUAAAACUUCUAUGUUUUAGCUGCCCAUUUCACCUAGAAAGUAUGCAUAAGUUGAAUGUCCUCUAGUUGUUGCUUGUUUUUCUGAUUUUGACUUGAUACGAAGUUUAAGAUAGUAAGGAAGACUUUUGAAUCUUGUGGUGUUUAAUUAAAGAAAUGUAGAAUGUACCAAAACGUCAUUUAAACGUGUUGUCUUAAACAUGCUACGUAGAAAGUUAGAACUAAAGAGUUGUCUGUAAAGGAAAGAGACAUCCUUUUUUAAACUAACUAAAAGGAAAGUCAGGCAAACAAAUUGAAACGGAAGGAUUACUUGGUUCUGUUUAAUUCAAGACAUAUUUGAAAACAUAAUAUGUAUAUAUUCAUAUUUGAGUUCAGCAAUAUGAUCAAAUAAGUAAUCAUGUUCAUAGCCUAGCCUAACUGAUGCUGCUGCAACUUUGAUUUGAUAGAAGCCUCAUGGUUCUGAUGCAAUAGUUGUCCAAUGUUGUUAAAGGCGCGCUUAAAGUGUGUUUAAGCUCUGAAGCGAGGCUCAAAACAUGUUGAACGCGUCUAUUCACAUUGAUCAUGAAUUUGUUACAGGGGAAAGUUUUGAAGAGUGUGCAACGAGGGAGGUGAAGGAGGAAACAGGAUUGAUUAUUGAUAAAACCGAGUAUCUAACGGUGACUAACAAUGUGAUCUCAGAGAAAGUUCACACCGUUUGCGUAUUCAUCAGAGCAGUCCCUGCUGAUGUUAACCAGAAGCCUGAAACACUUGAACCUGAUAAAUGUGCUGGUUGGGAUUGGUAUGAAUGGAACAAUCUCCCUAAACCACUCUUUGGUCCUUUAGAAGAUAUGGUCCAAAGUGGAUUCAAUCCUUUUCCAACUACUUUAUAGUUAACUGUUUUGCUAAGUAUUUAGGAUUCGAUGUUGCUAGGUUUGAUCACGAGUUCGAGCUAUGGAAUCAAUCCUUGAUGUUUGUGUUAGGGUAGUUGUCUACAUUACACACCCCCCCCCCCCUAGUGGUACAUCCCUAUAUUAUCCUAUUAAAUUAGUUAAUCAAGAUAAGUGAUAUGAUUUUGAUGUAAUAUACAACAAUAUUUGAACGUUUGGUAAUUACUGGAAUUGGUAUUAAAUAUACUUUGAAUGUUGACAGUAUGAUUAUUUAAUCUUUGCACAUUUAGUUGUAAUUUUUACAAAAAAAAAUAUUAAAUAGUUUUUGAGGUAGACAUGUGGGAUUAUGACUUUGUAAUAGAAUUAUAGAACAUAUCUUGAUUCAACUAAACUUUUAAUAUGAUCACUUUAUUGUUUUUUUAAUACAUUCAAACUUGAUUUAGUUUUCUCAUAUUUAACAAUCCUUCUUUAAAAGUAAGCCAGCAACAAAAUAUGUAAAGGUGAUGAUCGGGAGUUAAUAGAUAUUAGAUUUUUGCUAAGUUUAUAAAUUGAUUAAAUUAAUGUACUUUUUAGCUAAGUUCAAACAUUCAAAGUACAUGUAUACUAAAAUCAGUCAAAAGUUAUAAGUUGGUUAUUCUUAACUUCUGACUUUUCAGCUUAUAAACACUUUUAGUUUGACCAAAAAUUUUACUGUGUAUAUCUAAAAAAGGAUCAUACAUUACGUUUGGCACCUUCAAACAUUAAAGCCAAUUUGGUGCAUUGGGCUGGCAAGCGUCUUUUUAAAAAAAUUAGACAAACAUAAUUUGCUUAUCAAAAAUACUUUUCAAAUGAAUUAGUCAAACAUAAAAUAUUUUUAACUAACAUGCCCCCCCCCCCCCCCCUAGUGGUACAGUCCUUCCACGUGUCCUACAUAAUAGCGGAAUGUUUUGAGCACCAGACUGUCCCAACAUUGGUGUUUUAGUUUUGUAAUGGCAAGUGAUUCUUGAAUAUGCUAUGUUAUUUGUAGUAAUAUUUAUAUAAUUAUCUGUUUAAUAUGAAAUGUUGAUGAAUUCUGAUGUCAUGCCCCUCUGCAACAUCCUUUGGUGUGUAAAUUUCUGAUAAGUCUUGAGUCGAUUAAAACUCCAAGAUCGCGAGGUUCAAAGGCCUUGAGGUUGCUUAGAAAAGUCGGGCUAAAGUAGACAAUACCUUGCAAUUGGGCUUGGGCCGUGAAAAAAUGGUAUCAGAAUAGGAGGAGAAGGUUGGGGGUCGUGUAAGGACGAAUUCAAGAUUCAACGAGACACUUAUUGUGUAGCGAGGCCAAAUCUCAACGAAGACGUUAAGUCCCUAAGAAUGUAAGGGAGAUUCACUGUGAAACUUGUUUUAGAUUAAAAUUGUUUUAUAUUGGGAGAACUUUGCAAAAUUUAGAAUGUAUUGCUAUAUAUUUUCUUUCUGUAUUUACCUAAUUUUCUGUUUGGGCUAGUCCAAUUAUUUUCUAAAAAGGGGCUAUUAUUUCUAACAAACAAUUGAUCCAAGUCAUUAUAAAGUAGGACAAGACUUCCCAAUUCUAUUUAUUUGAUCUUGACUAAACUAAGAAAAGUUAUUGAAACUCACAACUUUUAAAAUACUUGUCAAAAUCAGGAAGAAAAAAAUUCAUAAAUAACUUUAGUUUAGAGCGUAAUUAUAAAAUUUAGCUAUAGUUAUUAUAUCAAGCGGAAGAGUUAUAUCAAAUAGAUAUUAAUUGUAUCAGCGAACGAGUUGUAUUCAGGCGAUAGGUACCAGUUGUAUCAGGAAGAACAACACAUUGUAUAUGUACAAGUGUGUAUUGCAUUUUUAUUACAAAACCCAAAAUAAAACUAUGUAUCCAAUUUUUUGAAAUUGUAAUUGUAUAUCAUAAAAUACAAUCUAAAUAUUUGCAAUAUCAUGUAAUUUUUCCAAUUAGGAUCAAUAUUAGUUUGUACAUCAUCAAGGGGAUGAUAGGUUAAUAAUAUUUAAAAAGUAGUUAUAUCUUAAGCACGCCAUCUUUAAAAAAUUAAUUCUUAAUCCUUCAUAUAAAGCAAUAUCAUGCUUACUCAUCACCUAACUAUUAUCAAUUAUAAGAUGUUUUCCAGAUUGUUAAUUGGAUUUUAAGCUCUUUGGUUUUAGAUCUUGAUUUUGACAUGUCUAGCUUAUUCAACAUAAUAUAUACUUUUGUCCUUAAUUAAUCUCCUAGUUGUUGAUUGUAGAUGAAAAUUAGUUGGUCCGUGACAUUUAGGUCCAUAAUCACAUCCCUCUCCCCCCCCCCCCCCCCCCCACAAAAUUUUUUAUCCCCCCCUAAUACUAAAAUAUUUAUUGAAUAAAUCACAAGUAAUUUCUUUUUAUAUGUCCAAGUUUUGACGGAUAGAGUUAUACAAUACAAGAAGCGGAGGUAGAAGCUGACAUACGGGUUUGAUCGAGCUAUAUUUCAACCCCUAUAUUUGUACAUAUAAAUUCACUAAAUAUGUACAGUAAUUAAAUGCAGAAUCAAGUCACUAACAUCUGAUAUAACUAUUUUUCGAAUUUAGAAUUCAUAAACACUACGCAAAAUUAAAAUUAGCUAUGAAUUUCAUCUCUCGUGUGUUGCUGAUAUUGCUCGUAGCUAACAUACUUUUUUGACAAUUUAUUGCUAAAUAGAAUUAAAAGUGGUUGAAAGUUCUUUAUUCAAUGAACUCACAGAUCCAUUAAGAUCAAUGGAAGGCUCUGAUACCACUGUUAUGGAACGGAAGAAACUAGAAAGAAAAAAUAAAGAGAGAAUGAAUGAUAACUUUUUGUAUUGAUUCGAAUAGAAGAGUACUUCACUAUUUAUAAAUAAUUAAGGAGAAUAAAAUAUAUUAUUUUCCUUCUAUACACUAAACUAAAAGGAAACUAAAUAUUUUGCAAUUAAUGUAAACCGUAGACUUGAAAGGAAAUUAAAUACUAUAGAAUAUUUUUAGACUAAAAGGAAAAAGUAAAAAGAUUCUACCAAAUUUAAACAAAUAUCGUACCUCAUCUACUUUAUAAUUAGUUUUAAUAUACAUAUUUAAUUUAACUAUAUAAAUAUAAUAACGACAGAGAGUAGGAAUUUCAGUUGUAUCAAAUAUGAAGAAAAAAAAGGAAUUAAAAUGCAAAAAAAUUCCCUUUGUUUCAAAUUAUGUGAAUUUAGAUAUGAAAUUUUUAAAAAAUUUAAAUAAAUUUUAUAUUUUUGAAAAUUAUGUAAAAAAUAUUAUAAAUUAAAAUAAUUGAUAAUUCAAAAUACUUUUAAAAAUAUAAAAAAAUGAUAAAAAAAAAAAACUUAUUUACAUUUUGAAAUCUGAAACAUGUCACAUAUUCGAAGAAGUAUAAGACAUGCCCAUGUGAGCUAUUACUCUAUAGAAUUAGUAUAGCUCGUAGACGAGCACAUUAAUGAAGUCUUGAAAAAAUAGACGAAGCGAUAAACAUCAAAUUUUUGCUAUUUUAAAGUCUCCGAUAGAAAAAAUGAUCGAUUAUUUUCCGUGGGUGGAUCCAAUUGUAAUUUAAUUGGAGCUAAACUACACAACUUGAGAAGACGCUAUCAGUUGACUUGGUCAACUGCAAUGAAGACUCCAUAGUACUACUUGUUUUUAUUUGUCCAUAUUAAUUUAACCUUUUUUUGACAAAUAAUAAAUAAAAUAAUAAUCCAAAAAAAUAAUUUGCUCUGCUUUUGAAAAAUAUUUUUUUGCUGCUGUUUAAAAAUUAUUUUUUGCUAAAAAACUCAACUCUCUAAACUAAGUAAAAAAGGAAUUUGAAAGUAAAAAACAUUGUUAAUUUCUACAAAUUAUAAAAUCACUUUACAUUAUUCUACUUGUUCUUGCAAAAAAGGCUAUUGAGUAAUGACUCGUUCAACAUACCAGUAUGAGAAGACUUAAGAGUAGACCAACUAAGUGUCAUGAAUCAAAAAAGACUGCGGUGUAGCGGAUGAAAUUGUUUCUUUCUUAAUUAACGAUUUUGAUUUUGAAAUUUGGUAUAAUUAUUUUUUUAUAGAAAGCGGUUUUUUUUUUUUGAAUGAGCUGACCUACACAAUACAAAUUUAAAUUAGUCGAACUUUAAUACAGAUACUAAACCGUGAAUGAAGAAACAAAAACUAAAGUGUCAUAAAUGUUUAGUCCAAGGAAGACUUCAAAAGUCAAGAACCAUAAAUGGGUUAUAAACGAAGUGAGAAUUUUCUAAUAUCUUAAAGGAUUUAGUCCACACGUUUGAAUUAUUUAAUUUUCUCUUGAGGAAAUUUUUUAUAUAAGAUUAUUAUUGAUUAAACAAAAAAACACAUCAUAUUAUUUCUCUCUUCCUCCAUAGCUUUUUGAAACCAUGAAUUACAAAGCAUUCACUUUGAUAUUGUUUGUAUUAAUUUUUUUGUCUAUCGUCAACGAUGGCCUCUCGAAGAAUAUUAUCAGGUUUUAUCUCUUUGCUUUUCUGAUUGAUAUAUUAAAUAUAAUAAUUAGAAAAAAAAUAUUUAUUGUUUAUAGAAUAAUAAUUCUUGUUUAUUGAUAAAAGCAUAAAGAUCAUUUCUAUUAUAAGGUGGAAAGUUUGAUUUUUCCAAUCAACCUAUUCGCAUAAAUAAAACUCUUUUAAAAAAUUAUAUAUUUAUCCCUUCACUUUAAUAUAUUUUAAUUUCCCCCCCCUAAAUUUUCAGUUGAAGGAAGUAAACAAAUUCAUUAGUUUAAGAUAUACCAUGUUGAGAAUUCUAAUUAGUACGAUGGCAUUUAAUUUGGACUAAUAAACAGUUUUUUGUUGUUAAACUAAAGCAAAAUAAGACAAAAAAAAUAUAGAAGAUGAAAGCAGUAGAAAUAUUGUUAUAUAAUAUUUUAUAACAAUUUUCUUUGUCAUUUCCUUUUUUGCUUUAUUCUUAUUUUUCAGUUUAUUGUAAUGGGUUUUACUUUUAAUUUAAGGUAUCACAUUUCAGUUUUCAAUAUGAAAAAAUGUCUUCAGAAAGCAUUUUUUUUCUUUAAAUAAGUCAUGUACGACACAAAUUCAAUUUUUUCCAAAAACACUUUUGAAAUUAUAAUCAAGCAUAAACUAUUACCCUAGAUCAACAAGUCUUUUUAAAUUAAUUAGUCUAAUACAAAU
rnacentral:lncRNA from 1 species